UUCUAAUUUAGGGUAUAUAUU
rnacentral:siRNA from 1 species